UACGUAGGGUGCGAGCGUUGUCCGGAAUUAUUGGGCGUAAAGGGCUCGUAGGCGGUCUGUCGCGUCGGGAGUGAAAACUCAGGGCUUAACCCUGAGCCUGCUUCCGAUACGGGCAGACUAGAGGUAUGCAGGGGAGAACGGAAUUCCUGGUGUAGCGGUGAAAUGCGCAGAUAUCAGGAGGAACACCGGUGGCGAAGGCGGGUUGCUGGGCCGACACUGACGCUGAUGCGCGAAAGCCAGGGGAGCGAACGGG
rnacentral:rRNA from 1 species